rnacentral:rRNA from 1 species
GAUGAACGCUAGCGGCAGGCUUAAUACAUGCAAGUCGAGGGGCAGCGCAGUGUAGCAAUACAUGGACGGCGACCGGCAAACGGGUGCGGAACACGUACACAACCUCCCUCCAAGCGGGGAUUAGCCCAGAGAAAUUUGGAUUAAUACCCCAUAGGAUAGUGGAAAGGCAUCUUUCAGCUAUUAAAGAUUCAUCACUUGGAGAUGGGUGUGCGUAUGAUUAGGUAGUUGGCGGGGUAAGGGCCAACCAAGCCUACGAUCAUUAACUGGUGUGAGAGGACGAUCAGUCACACGGGGACUGAGACACGGGCCAGACUCCUACGGGAGGCGGCAGUAGGGAAUUUUGGACAAUGGGCGAAAGCCUGACCCAGCAAUGCCGCGUGUGUGAAGAAGGCCUUCGGGUUGUAAAGCGCUUUUGUCCGGAAAGAAAUGGCUCUGGUUAAUACCUGGGGUCGAUGACGGUGCCGGAAGAAUAAGGACCGGCUAACUACGUGCCAGCAGCCGCCGCGG